CUCUUGUACCGUUUCUCCAUUGUUUUAGCUCCGAAUAGGCUCAAUUAUGCACAAGAUGCUCCGAAUCCAGCUCGAGCACCUAUAACCUGCAAAGGACUCAAGACACAACCGAAAAGACGCAAAAGACGGACUUUGACACGAUAGAUGACUCAAAACAUGGACUAAACCAAGACUCGAAACCGUUAAAAACGCAACACAUCAAACUCCCCCCGACUUAAAUCUUUGCUUGUCCUCAAGGAAAGCAGAAAUCCUUAUCAAGAGAAGAGGUUUGAAAACACGAGAACUCACAUUUUCUUCGGGAUCAUGUUCUAUCAAUUGCCUGCAAACCACUAUCACACAACUCAUCAAACCGUACUAGACUGUACUUCGCCAUAACCGUAGCAACAAAAUUAAGUCCCGAAAUCUAAAAGAAUUUUCAGAAUCAGAUAACUUAACCUUUUAACAUUCAUUAGCAGUGGCGUGUAUUCUCACAAAGGGGGUAUCGAACACGUUAUGGGCUUGGUCAAAAAGGGCUAAUAUUUAGUGGCUCAAGGUGUUUCGGGUACUCAACAGUAUAAACGGAUGCACGUCAUUAUGCGAAAUCACAGUGAGACACAGACCAACUAGGAGGUACAUAGCUUCCCUUAAGCUCGGAUCAAAUCAACAAACAUAUUAUCCCAAUCAAACCAAUGACUACCCAUGAUGCUUAACAAUAUAACCAAUGGUAACUCGACAUUUCCGGUUCCAAUCACUCUCCUUUCCCGCUUCUUCUUUUCAUUUUCGUUUUUUUUUUUUUUUUUUUUUUUUUUUUGAAGCGGGGGAGUGGAACCGGUGUCUCACAAAAAUCUGCAUCAAGAACAAUCGCAAACAGCAGCAUACACCCAUGAAUAUAACCUCUAAACCACAAUGGCUCAAUCUCAUCACAUAUCGACAACCAGUAAACUACAACUCACUAUCCUAACAAAAGGAAAGCUAUGUCGGUCCGUAUACUCCGUAGUUUUCGCACAUGGAUGCAUAUCAUGAUGAUCAUAUAAGAAUGCAUGAGGUUUCAAACAAUGGGUGGGGAAACAGGUGCGGUACUAGACUAAAAAUGAGUCUAGCCAUUCAGAGUUAGCAAAGAGUGGUAAAAGUGAUGCGAACAAAACUCUGAAUGUAUGAUCCAUUACAUGAUUCUCAAGCCCCUAAGUGAGAUAAAUUAAGUCCAGAUUAAGUUCAAGUAUAUAAGAUUAAGCUCAAUUCAUCCAAAUUUCAAAGAGAUAGGGACUACUAUAAAGCGAUCAAGUGAUGGAUUUUCCUGAACUUCCAAGUCAUCAGCGAGUAAAGCUAAAAUGGUCCCAAAGGCAAUUAAAUCAAACAUGGUGCAAUUCCCUAAGAAAAGAUCAUAGUUCUCAGACAACAUUUUGACUCAAUAAAAGACAUGAUUUUGACUCGAUAAAACAAACUCGAUGACUCAAAAGAAAAACAUCAAAAAUGCAAACUAGAUUAGUAGACAAGUGGCAGCCUCCCCCCGACUUGCUUCACACCGACUCGGCGUGAAAACAGUUCAAAGAAAAGGUGCCACACGGACGCAAGAAAAUAAAAAUAAAGAGAAAAGAAAAAUGGUAUAUAACAAGGGAAGAGGGUGAGUUACUGUAGUACUCAACGGUGGUGGGUGGGGCUCUCGCUAGAGCUCUGCUCCCCUGGCUGUCUCCUGCUCCUGCCUAAGCGUGUGUCUGGAGAAUGCUCUUGUGAACGCUGCGAAGUCGAAGCUCUACUCUGUCCAGCAGCAGGGAUCAACCUCUCAGCAUGUCGAUCCCCGGCAACGGCGCCAACUUGAUUGCUCGAGUAAUUAACUCAAUACACUUAACCGAUAGGCAGUAUAUUCGAGGUCGAUCCACAAGGACCAAAGAUACUCUAAGGAUUUUCGAGACUUGUUCUUAGCUAAAACUAAAAAGUUGUUUUGUUUGAGUUUUCCGAAUUGUAAAAUAAAAAUGCAAUUAUUAAACGAUUUAAGUUUCAAGAUUUAAAGACAUUAGGCAUUAGGGUAUUUCAGAGAUCAAUAAACAAUGGAAACAUGGGACAAAGAAUUCAACAAUUACGAACCGUUCUUGAACAUGAACACAACUUAGACUAAUUCUCUUUCAAGACAUUAAUCACUAAAUUUGACUACUCGAUUACUAAACUUUCGCAUGUAAUUUCCUAGUCAAAUUCGCAUUAUCAAACAAGUUCAUUUAGUUCACAAUGCGUCCUAACUUCAACUUUCGUUGGCUAGAAAUACAUUGCUCAAUUCACAUUCUUUCAGGCAUUCUAUCGAACACUUUUGAUGCAUAGAAAAACCUAGGUUCUACAACAGGGUGAUCAAUCCUAUUCUAGCAUUAAGAACAUGUGAAUCAAAGAACCUAGAGAAUGAGAAUUCCAAACAACAAUUAAUCCAUUAAUCUAUCGAAUCUCCUAAUUAGAACCCUAACACCUAAUUAAAAGACUACUCACACAUAGCAACAGAAACAAGACAAAUAGAUGAAGAAGUCAUAAUUGAAUUGCAAUGAAAAUAAGAAAUAGGGUUUAGAAAUCUUCUCCAAAUUGUCAAAGAGGAUGAAUCUCUAGAAUCCCAAGGUUGCUUACAAGAGAAAAGUCUUAGAAAAAUUGCAGAAAGAAAACGUCCCAAAGAAAAUUAGGUCUCUGGGGUUUUUAUACCCAAGUACAAAAAAAGGAAGACAAAACCCGGUUUAGGAAAACCGUCUCGGGACGUCGAGGCUCGGAUCGAUCGAUCCCAUGGGUGGAUCGAUCGAUCCAGAUAUGCUGAAUCAAUUGGUCUUGGACGGAUGAGGGUUGGAUCGAUCGAUCCCCUCCUGGGAUCUAUCGAUCUCGAGCUACUGGAACUUUUGGCUUCAUCGUCACAAUUGGGAUCGAUCGAUCCACGCCUUGGAUCGAUCGAUCCCCAGCUCCUGGUGAUCUCUUGUACCGUUUCUCCAUUGUUUUAGCUCCGAAUAGGCUCAAUCAUGCACAAGAUGCUCCGAAUCCAGCUCGAGCACCUAUAACCUGCAAAGGACUCAAGACACAACCGAAAAGACGCAAAAGACGGAUUUUGACACGAUAGAUGACUCAAAACAUGGACUAAACCAAGACUCGAAACCGUUAAAAACGCAACACAUCAAACUCCCCCCGACUUAAAUCUUUGCUUGUCCUCAAGGAAAGCAGAAAUCCUUAUCAAGAGAAGAGGUUUGAAAACACGAGAACUCACAUUUUCUUCGGGAUCAUGUUCUAUCAAUUGCCUGCAAACCACUAUCACACAACUCAUCAAACCGUACUAGACUGUACUUCGCCAUAACCGUAGCAACAAAAUUAAGUCCCGAAAUCUAAAAGAAUUUUCAGAAUCAGAUAACUUAACCUUUUAACAUUCAUUAGCAGUGGCGUGUAUUCUCACAAAGGGGGUAUCGAACACGUUAUGGGCUUGGUCAAAAAGGGCUAAUAUUUAGUGGCUCAAGGUGUUUCGGGUACUCAACAGUAUAAACGGAUGCACGUCAUUAUGCGAAAUCACAGUGAGACACAGACCAACUAGGAGGUACAUAGCUUCCCUUAAGCUCGGAUCAAAUCAACAAACAUAUUAUCCCAAUCAAACCAAUGACUACCCAUGAUGCUUAACAAUAUAACCAAUGGUAACUCGACAUUUCCGGUUCCAAUCACUCUCCUUUCCCGCUUCUUCUUUUCAUUUUCGUUUUUUUUUUUUUUUUUUUGAAGCGGGGGAGUGGAACCGGUGUCUCACAAAAAUCUGCAUCAAGAACAAUCGCAAACAGCAGCAUACACCCAUGAAUAUAACCUCUAAACCACAAUGGCUCAAUCUCAUCACAUAUCGACAACCAGUAAACUACAACUCACUAUCCUAACAAAAGGAAAGCUAUGUCGGUCUGUAUACUCCGUAGUUUUCGCACAUGGAUGCAUAUCAUGACGAUCAUAUAAGAAUGCAUGAGGUUUCAAACAAUGGGUGGGGAAACAGGUGCGGUACUAGACUAAAAAUGAGUCUAGCCAUUCAGAGUUAGCAAAGAGUGGUAAAAGUGAUGCGAACAAAACUCUGAAUGUAUGAUCCAUUACAUGAUUCUCAAGCCCCUAAGUGAGAUAAAUUAAGUCCAGAUUAAGUUCAAGUAUAUAAGAUUAAGCUCAAUUCAUCCAAAUUUCAAAGAGAUAGGAACUACUAUAAAGCGAUCAAGUGAUGGAUUUUCCUGAACUUCCAAGUCAUCAGCGAGUAAAGCUAAAAUGGUCCCAAAGGCAAUUAAAUCAAACAUGGUGCAAUUCCCUAAGAAAAGAUCAUAGUUCUCAGACAACAUUUUGACUCAAUAAAAGACACGAUUUUGAUUCGAUAAAACAGACUCGAUGACUCAAAAGAAAAACAUCAAAAAUGCAAACUAGAUUAGUAGACAAGUGGCAGCCUCCCCCCGACUUGCUUCACACCGACUCGGCGUGAAAACAGUUCAAAGAAAAGGUGCCACACGGACGCAAGAAAAUAAAAAUAAAGAGAAAAGAAAAAUGGUAUAUAACAAGGGAAGAGGGUGAGUUACUGUAGUACUCAACGGUGGUGGGUGGGGCUCUCGCUAGAGCUCUGCUCCCCUGGCUGUCUCCUGCUCCUGCCUAAGCGUGUGUCUGGAGAAUGCUCUUGUGAACGCUGCGAAGUCGAAGCUCUACUCUGUCCAGCAGCAGGGAUCAACCUCUCAGCAUGUCGAUCCCCGGCAACGGCGCCAACUUGAUUGCUCGAGUAAUUAACUCAAUACACUUAACCGAUAGGCAGUAUAUUCGAGGUCGAUCCACAAGGACCAAAGAUACUCUAAGGAUUUUCGAGACUUGUUCUUAGCUAAAACUAAAAAGUUGUUUUGUUUGAGUUUUCCGAAUUGUAAAAUAAAAAUGCAAUUAUUAAACGAUUUAAGUUUCAAGAUUUAAAGACAUUAGGCAUUAGGGUAUUUCAGAGAUCAAUAAAUAAUGGAAACAUGGGACAAAGAAUUCAACAAUUACGAACCGUUCUUGAACAUGAACACAACUUAGACUAAUUCUCUUUCAAGACAUUAAUCACUAAAUUUGACUACUCGAUUACUAAACUUUCGCAUGUAAUUUCCUAGUCAAAUUCGCAUUAUCAAACAAGUUCAUUUAGUUCACAAUGCGUCCUAACUUCAACUUUCGUUGGCUAGAAAUACAUUGCUCAAUUCACAUUCUUUCAGGCAUUCUAUCGAACACUUUUGAUGCAUAGAAAAACCUAGGUUCUACAACAGGGUGAUCAAUCCUAUUCUAGCAUUAAGAACAUGUGAAUCAAAGAACCUAGAGAAUGAGAAUUCCAAACAACAAUUAAUCCAUUAAUCUAUCGAAUCUCCUAAUUAGAACCCUAACACCUAAUUAAAAGACUACUCACACAUAGCAACAGAAACAAGACAAAUAGAUGAAGAAGUCAUAAUUGAAUUGCAAUGAAAAUAAGAAAUAGGGUUUAGAAAUCUUCUCCAAAUUGUCAAAGAGGAUGAAUCUCUAGAAUCCCAAGGUUGCUUACAAGAGAAAAGUCUUAGAAAAAUUGCAGAAAGAAAACGUCCCAAAGAAAAUUAGGUCUCUGGGGUUUUUAUACCCAAGUACAAAAAAAGGAAGACAAAACCCGGUUUAGGAAAACCGUCUCGGGACGUCGAGGCUCGGAUCGAUCGAUCCCAUGGGUGGAUCGAUCGAUCCAGAUAUGCUGAAUCAAUUGGUCUUGGACAGAUGAGGGUUGGAUCGAUCGAUCUCGAGCUACUGGAACUUUUGGCUUCAUCGUCACAAUUGGGAUCGAUCGAUCCACGCCUUGGAUCGAUUUAUCCCCAGCUCCUGGUGAUCUCUUGUACCGUUUCUCCAUUGUUUUAGCUCCGAAUAGGCUCAAUUAUGCACAAGAUGCUCCGAAUCCAGCUCGAGCACCUAUAACCUGCAAAGGACUCAAGACACAACCGAAAAGACGCAAAAGACGGACUUUGACACGAUAGAUGACUCAAAACAUGGACUAAACCAAGACUCGAAACCGUUAAAAACGCAACACAUCAAACUCCCCCCGACUUAAAUCUUUGCUUGUCCUCAAGGAAAGCAGAAAUCCUUAUCAAGAGAAGAGGUUUGAAAACACGAGAACUCACAUUUUCUUCGGGAUCAUGUUCUAUCAAUUGCCUGCAAACCACUAUCACACAACUCAUCAAACCGUACUAGACUGUACUUCGCCAUAACCGUAGCAACAAAAUUAAGUCCCGAAAUCUAAAAGAAUUUUCAGAAUCAGAUAACUUAACCUUUUAACAUUCAUUAGCAGUGGCGUGUAUUCUCACAAAGGGGGUAUCGAACACGUUAUGGGCUUGGUCAAAAAGGGCUAAUAUUUAGUGGCUCAAGGUGUUUCGGGUACUCAACAGUAUAAACGGAUGCACGUCAUUAUGCGAAAUCACAGUGAGACACAGACCAACUAGGAGGUACAUAGCUUCCCUUAAGCUCGGAUCAAAUCAACAAACAUAUUAUCCCAAUCAAACCAAUGACUACCCAUGAUGCUUAACAAUAUAACCAAUGGUAACUCGACAUUUCCGGUUCCAAUCACUCUCCUUUCCCGCUUCUUCUUUUCAUUUUCGUUUUUUUUUUUUUUUUUUUUUUUUUGAAGCGGGGGAGUGGAACCGGUGUCUCACAAAAAUCUGCAUCAAGAACAAUCGCAAACAGCAGCAUACACCCAUGAAUAUAACCUCUAAACCACAAUGGCUCAAUCUCAUCACAUAUCGACAACCAGUAAACUACAACUCACUAUCCUAACAAAAGGAAAGCUAUGUCGGUCUGUAUACUCCGUAGUUUUCGCACAUGGAUGCAUAUCAUGAUGAUCAUAUAAGAAUGCAUGAGGUUUCAAACAAUGGGUGGGGAAACAGGUGCGGUACUAGACUAAAAAUGAGUCUAGCCAUUCAGAGUUAGCAAAGAGUGGUAAAAGUGAUGCGAACAAAACUCUAAAUGUAUGAUCCAUUACAUGAUUCUCAAGCCCCUAAGUGAGAUAAAUUAAGUCCAGAUUAAGUUCAAGUAUAUAAGAUUAAGCUCAAUUCAUCCAAAUUUCAAAGAGAUAGGGACUACUAUAAAGCGAUCAAGUGAUGGAUUUUCCUGAACUUCCAAGUCAUCAGCGAGUAAAGCUAAAAUGGUCCCAAAGGCAAUUAAAUCAAACAUGGUGCAAUUCCCUAAGAAAAGAUCAUAGUUCUCAGACAACAUUUUGACUCAAUAAAAGACACGAUUUUGACUCGAUAAAACAGACUCGAUGACUCAAAAGAAAAACAUCAAAAAUGCAAACUAGAUUAGUAGACAAGUGGCAGCCUCCCCCCGACUUGCUUCACACCGACUCAGCGUGAAAACAGUUCAAAGAAAAGGUGCCACACGGACGCAAGAAAAUAAAAAUAAAGAGAAAAGAAAAAUGGUAUAUAACAAGGGAAGAGGGUGAGUUACUGUAGUACUCAACGGUGGUGGGUGGGGCUCUCGCUAGAGCUCUGCUCCCCUGGCUGUCUCUUGCUCCUGCCUAAGCGUGUGUCUGGAGAAUGCUCUUGUGAACGCUGCGAAGUCGAAGCUCUACUCUGUCCAGCAGCAGGGAUCAACCUCUCAGCAUGUCGAUCCCCGG
rnacentral:lncRNA from 1 species